rnacentral:tRNA from 1 species
GCAGUGGUGGUUCAAUGGUAGAAUUCUGGCCUUCCGUGUGGGAGACCAGGGUUCAAUUCCCAGCCAACGCU